AAGGAUCAUUACCGAGUUGAUUCGGGCUCCGGCCCGAUCCUCCCACCCUUUGUGUACCUACCUCUGUUGCUUUGGCGGGCCGCGGUCCUCCGCGGCCGCCCCCCUCCCCGGGGGGUGGCCAGCGCCCGCCAGAGGACCAUCAAACUCCAGUCAGUAAACGAUGCAGUCUGAAAAACAUUUAAUAAACUAAAACUUUCAACAACGGAUCUCUUGGUUCUGGCAUCGAUGAAGAACGCAGCGAAAUGCGAUAAGUAAUGUGAAUUGCAGAAUUCAGUGAAUCAUCGAAUCUUUGAACGCACAUUGCGCCCUUUGGUAUUCCGAAGGGCAUGCCUGUUCGAGCGUCAUUACAACUCUCAAGCUCUGCUUGGUAUUGGGCACCGUCCUUUGCGGGCGCGCCUCAAAGACCUCGGCGGUGGCGUCUUGCCUCAAGCGUAGUAGAACAUACAUCUCGCUUCGGAGCGCAGGGCGUCGCCCGCCGGACGAACCUUCUGAACUUUUCUCAAGGUUGACCUCGGAUCAGGUAGGGAUACCCGCUGAACUUAA
rnacentral:rRNA from 1 species